GAGUUUGAACCUGGCUCAGGACGAACGCUGGCGGCGUGCCUAAUACAUGCAAGUCGAGCGAGCUUGCCUAGAUGAUUUUAGUGCUUGCACUAAAUGAAACUAGAUACAAGCGAGCGGCGGACGGGUGAGUAACACGUGGGUAACCUGCCCAAGAGACUGGGAUAACACCUGGAAACAGAUGCUAAUACCGGAUAACAACACUAGACGCAUGUCUAGAGUUUGAAAGAUGGUUCUGCUAUCACUCUUGGAUGGACCUGCGGUGCAUUAGCUAGUUGGUAAGGUAACGGCUUACCAAGGCAAUGAUGCAUAGCCGAGUUGAGAGACUGAUCGGCCACAUUGGGACUGAGACACGGCCCAAACUCCUACGGGAGGCAGCAGUAGGGAAUCUUCCACAAUGGACGAAAGUCUGAUGGAGCAACGCCGCGUGAGUGAAGAAGGGUUUCGGCUCGUAAAGCUCUGUUGGUAGUGAAGAAAGAUAGAGGUAGUAACU
rnacentral:rRNA from 1 species